rnacentral:lncRNA from 1 species
GGAUUUUUUGAAAUUUUUUUGAAAAUUUUUAAUUUUCAUGGGGCCCACCCACUUAAACCACUCUUAACCACUCUUUUUUCCCUUAUCACUCAUCAUUAUCAGAUUUUUACAAAACUUAUCAUCACUCUCUCUCAUACUUUUUCAUCUUCUUCUCUCACUCUCUUACAAACUCCAUUAAAACUCACUCACCUCACCAUACAAAACCCUACAUGCAACCAAGUUCC